AAUAAUAAUAAUAAUAAUAAUAAACACCGAUACCCAUGAUGUUGUACCCAGUCCAACGCCCCAUUAUUCCCUGCUCUCCAUGGAGGAAAUUUCAACACCAAUGUGCUGGACAGAAUUGGCUGGCUAGUUCCGGUUCUUGCAUUUCUCUACAGCUCUUGGGGCUGCAUAGAAAAUAAAAAAUCCCCUUCAUAUAAGCUCAAUGCAACAAAUCUUAACAUGAACAUACAAAUAAAUUGAGCUGGUAACAAGCAUCAUGUAACAUAAUAUAACUUGUGUCAGUUUCGGUAGCCCUAGUCGCUGGAGUCAAUUCAUGAAAUUGUAUUUAUACUAGGGGGUGAUAAUCUAGCACUAUACUUAGGCUAGAUGGAUCAGAUGUAUAUUAAGAAUUCCACAAACCAAAAGCAUUUUUCAAAACAUCAACAUUAUUAGGUUAGAAAAAAUAAAGCAGCCUGUCAUAGAUUGCUGAAAAACACAAAAAACAAAGGAUUUGAGUUUCAAGUUUCACUUCAAGAAUGUUUUGAUAAGGAUAAUAAUCUACAGGAAAGAAGAAGAAUUGGCACUUUUGAAAGUCACUGCAUAUCCUUUAGAAGAGACUCGAACUUGUCUACAAGAGCUUGAUUCUUGAAUAUAAAACACUAAAUUAUGCAAUAUUUUUAUCAUGUGCAGGAUACAUGAAUAAUCCUAAGCGUUUAUAUCCUAUAGCUUCAGAUCAUGGGUCAAGUCAAGUACCACAACUUCCAUCA
rnacentral:misc_RNA from 1 species